rnacentral:tRNA from 1 species
AGGCACAUAGCUCAGUUGGUUAGAGCACCACCUUGACAUGGUGGGGGUCGCUAGUUCGAAUCUAGUUGUGCCUACCA